UGGGGAAUAUUGCACAAUGGGGGAAACCCUGAUGCAGCGACGCCGCGUGAGCGAAGAAGUAUUUCGGUAUGUAAAGCUCUAUCAGCAGGGAAGAAACUGACGGUACCUGACUAAGAAGCACCGGCUAAAUACGUGCCAGCAGCCGCGGUAAUACGUAUGGUGCAAGCGUUAUCCGGAUUUACUGGGUGUAAAGGGAGCGUAGACGGAGUGGCAAGUCUGGAGUGAAAACCCAGGGCUCAACCCUGGGACUGCUUUGGAAACUGUCAAUCUAGAGUGCUGGAGAGGUAAGUGGAAUUCCUAGUGUAGCGGUGAAAUGCGUAGAUAUUAGGAGGAACACCAGUGGCGAAGGCGGCUUACUGGACAGUGACUGACGUUGAGGCUCGAAAGCGUGGGGAGCAAACA
rnacentral:rRNA from 1 species